AGUUAUCUAACAGUUGGUUUUAAAUAUGGUAGUCUCGACAUCAUUAUUGUUAUUAAGCAUGACUAUAGUAAAAUGAACACCACCUCUCGUUAAUCCCGAUAUCUAUACUUCAAACUAGAUACACUCGUCAUACUUUCAACUUUGAUUUUUCUUGAAUCCUCAUUUCCAUUUCUUCCAAUGUGACAUUAGUCUUAAACAUGAUGUCAACGUGAUUGUCCGAUUGAAAAAUGAUGCUUAUAUCACCCAUCGUAAUUGAUCCAUUAUAAAUACCUGUGCCAUAAAUUGAUUCAUCAUCUUUUCAAUUCAAAUUAUAAAAUGUUACAUUACUAGCAUUAGGAAUAAUACUAACACAAUAAUGAACUUUUAACAAUACAAACAUUUUUAAUUAUAGGAACAAUUUCAACAAUACAAAAAAAAAGACAUCUAACAUAACAUUAAAAUUCUAAAACGUUUAAUAACACUAAUAGUAUAACAAUUGCAUAAUACAAAAUACUUGCAUGAUAAAAAAUCUGUAAAUCUGAAAGCUUAACUUUAAGAGGUUUAGAAUUAUACUCUAAAAGGAAAAUUUUAAGGAUGAAGUAAAAAAAAUUAGGGUUCAAACAAAUAAGUUUAAGCUUUUAUUGUAAAAUUUAUAUUAACCUCAACUCCCAUGAAUUUUGAGGUUAAUAUCCAAUAAGUCAAAUUUAUAUAAGUGCAAGUACAAGGUUCUUAAAGGAAUAUCUGGUAAAUAAGAUUGAUUGGGGUCAUGUAACACCCAAAAUCUAGCCUAGACAUUAUGGACGAAUAUGGGACUGUUACGAUGAAGGGUUUUAAACACAUCCUUUAGGUUAAAACUUUACAUACUAUUUGUUACCAAAAAGGGUACAUGUUUCCAGAAAAGCUCUUUUUAUAUUCUUUAUUAAAACCGUUAUUGUUGUUCUUUAAUGUGAAUCAUAAAUUUGCAGUGAAAGUUGAAUAAAUCAUUAUAGAUAAAACCAAGUUUGUAUUUUUAGAAAAACUUUUGUUUGCGUAAAAUCGUGAUUUUGUCAAACAUCGCAGUAUAAAAUUUAAAAACGCAUCCAAAACCAAAACCAAAAGCAAACAGUCCAGAGAGUUUCAAAAUUUACAAACUCUCAAGAAAAACUAGAAUCUAAAAAUAAAACCAUUAAUUUAAAGACAGUUUUUGUACUAGUGGUUACCGUUGAGCCUUUGUCGCACUGACUCGCCUAUGUCUGAGGAUUACCUGAAUAGAACAGACAACAUAUGUGAGUUUUCAAAAAACUCAGUGUGUAACUUAACAGAGACACUCAUGCAUAUGGGAACAAAGUUUUCAUGUACAGAUUAGAUACAGAUACGGACACAAGUCCUUAAUAGAAACAGAUCAUGUCAGAAUCAGAUAAUCAGAAUAGAUAUGCAAAAUCCUACCUCCAUCCUCUACACACCAUAUCUGAACAUCCCAUCACAUAAUGUGGGGUAUAAAACACCCACCCAUCCCUACAUACCACAUAGUGUCUGUACGACACUUAGCAGAAUAGCAUGCAACCAUACUGCUAGAUAAUAGGCAAAAUGUCGCCUUACAGAACACUUUCUCCACAUAUACUAAACCCACCCCAAAUAGAGAUAAAGAAUACAAAUAACAGAUAUAACAGAAUCAACAUGUUUAGCAUGCUCAUAUACAAAUAUCAUACAUGUUUAUAUUGACAAUCAGACAUACAUAUCAAUUUUACUAACUCAAAUUAGUCUAUCAGAAUAAUAUAUCUCAUGCAUUAAGGGUUUGGUUAGCCCUUACCGACCCUAUAAAAGGCUCAUAGUCGAUUGGAACAACUCAAGUGACCCUAGGGAAAAUUUUAGAAUUUUGGGCCCACACACCCAAAUUGGCCCUGCCUGUGUGGCCCACAUGUCCUGGCCCAUGACCCACGUUCCCGUGUGGCCCACACGCCUAAAUUGACCUAGCUCGUGUGGCCCACACAACCAUACCCUUGCUCGUCACACGGCUGUGUGUCGUACACAACCAGCCACAUGACCGGGCACACGCCCAUGUAGCGUUGACAAGCCACUUUUUCGGCUUUCGUCGAACCUCAUUUUUUUUCCAUGUUUGCAUUACAGACUUGGUUUCUUUUUCGAAUCAGCCUAAAUGAUGAAAUUCCUAGUACCUAAAAUCAACAGAAUUCAAUGAAUUAAUCCCCAGGAACUCUUUCAAUUCGAAGGCAUACGACUUAGUACCCUAACAUGUCGAAACCCAACAACAAAACUAUGCUUAAUCGAUAGAAACACUUACCCUCAAGACAACAAUCCACACAAUCACUCCGCUGAAAGAGCACCCAUUGACGCACAAUUCUCACCUAGAUAUCAGUAAACACAAACCAAGAAAAAUUAAAAGGAAACCCUUCAACACCAUAAAAAAUACCCAACCAUUCAUCUAUUCCAUAAAGAAACUUAAGCCAACUAUGCACUUACCAAACAACAACCACCAAUCUUAAUGACAGAGAUGAGCAAAUAACACUUGAAUUUCGUCU
rnacentral:lncRNA from 1 species